GGGGGAAAGGGAGAGUAUCAUGGUUACAGCUGGAUCACCUAAGGCAGAGAGGGAAGGAACCAACAGGUAUAUGAAGAAGACUGUAUUUCCUCCUCAGGAAGAAAAAAUCACCUAUAACUGCGAUGAAUUUUAGCCAAAUUCAAGAGGCCUUGAAUUUGAAAUUGUCACUCAGAUUUGACUAAGUCAGGUAGAGUUGGUCAAAUCUGAUGGGAGAAAGACCAGAACAAACAACAACAACAAAAAUCUCAACAAUAUGAUCACUGGGUGCUCCAAUGGAGAGGAGCAUGGACUGGAUGAAUGACAGAAUAAGACUGACUUGAACAGACGAAACUCAAACUCUGGAAAAGAAGCCAGAUCACUCACUAUUACUAGUGAUAUAAAAAUUGCAGUGCUGGCAUUUGGAGGAUGUAGAGUCUCAGAAUAAUCCACAUCUUUCUACGUGCAGCCUAAGACCCUGACCCUCACCUUGACAGUCACACACAUUUGACACUGAAUGUGUCCAGUAUAUGGUCAUGUGCUGCCUAACAAUGUUUCAGUCAAUGAUGGACCACAUAUAUAAUGGUGCAACCAUAAGGUUAUACUAUGAUAUCUUUUUAUUUUCUAUGUUUAGAUAUGUUUAGAGAUAAAAAUACUUGCAUUACAUUGUAUUAUAACUGUUUACCAUAUUCAGUACAAUAACAUGAUGUUCAGGCUUGUAGCCUAAGAGCAACAGGUGAUACUAUAUAGCUUAGGUGUGUGGUAGGCUAUUCCAUCUAGGCUUGAAAGUACACUCUGAUGUAGAGUGUGUAAAUACACUCUGAUAUUUGUACAAUGAUGAAAUCACCUAAUGACACAUUUCUCAGAGAGUAUCGCCAUUGUUAAGAAACACGUGACUAUAUUACUAAACUUUUAAUGUUGUAUAAAUGGAGCAAUAUGUAAUUAUAAAUAAUUACAAAUGGUAACUAAGGUUGUUAUAAAUUUGUAAACUGUUUAGUUUAGAAAAAAAAUCUAGCAGUAAAAUUUAAUGUUCACUUACUCCAUCUUUCUUACUGAUAUUAAAUACUAUUUUGUUUCUCUUUGAAAA
ensembl:lncRNA LINC01609 long intergenic non-protein coding RNA 1609